GAAAACUUGGAAACUACUGUUGGAUCGAGAAAUUGACGUCCGAGAUUCAUCCACGUCACCAUAAGUUAAAAUUUAACUCCCAAUUUAACUCCCAGUAAAAUUUUAACGCAUGAGUGAAUCCGUGAGUUAAAUUUUAACUCAUGGUGACGUGGACGAAUCUCGGACGUCAAUAUCUCGAUCCAACGGUAGUUUUCAGGUUUUC
rnacentral:pre_miRNA from 1 species